UGGGGAAUAUUGGACAAUGGGCGAAAGCCUGAUCCAGCCAUGCCGCGUGUGUGAAGAAGGUCUUCGGAUUGUAAAGCACUUUAAGUUGGGAGGAAGGGCAGUAAGCGAAUACCUUGCUGUUUUGACGUUACCGACAGAAUAAGCACCGGCUAACUCUGUGCCAGCAGCCGCGGUAAUACAGAGGGUGCAAGCGUUAAUCGGAAUUACUGGGCGUAAAGCGCGCGUAGGUGGUUCGUUAAGUUGAAUGUGAAAGCCCCGGGCUCAACCUGGGAAAUGGCUCCAAAAACGGGGAGCUAGAGGAGGGGCGAGGGUGGUGGAAUUUCCUGUGUAGCGGUGAAAUGCGUAGAUAUAGGAAGGAACACCAGUGGCGAAGGCGACCACCUGGGCUCAUACUGACACUGAGGUGCGAAAGCGUGGGGAGCAAACAGG
rnacentral:rRNA from 1 species